rnacentral:rRNA from 1 species
UACCGAUGGGUGGUUUUACAAGUCAGAAGUGAAAUCUUAAGGCUCAACCUUGAGACUGUCUUUUGAAACUGUAAAACUAGAGGGGCAAAGAGGAAGCUGGAACGAACGGUGUAGUAGUGAAAUGCGUUGAUAUCGUUCGGAACACCAAUAGCGUAGGCAGGCUUCUGGGUGCCACCUGACACUGCUAGGACGAAAGCGUGGGGAGCGAUAAGGAUUAGAUACCCUUGUAGUCCACGCUGUAAACGAUGCGCAUUAGGCGCUAGCGAGUAUCGACCCUCGUUAGUGCCCUAGCUAACGCGAUAAAUGCGCCGCCUGGGGAGUACGGCCGCAAGGCUAAA